GACGCACACACACAAACACACACCUCCAUCAGACACACACACACAAACACACACCUCCAUCAGACGCACACACACAAACACACACCUCCAUCAGACACACACACACAAACACACACCUCCAUCAGACACACACACACACACAAACCUCCAUCAGACACACACACACAAACACACACCUCCAUCAGACACACACACACACAAACCUCCAUCAGACACACACACACAAACACACACCUCCAUCAGACACACACACACACACACAAACACACACCUCCAUCAGACGCACACACACAAACACACACCUCCAUCAGACACACACACACAAACACACACCUCCAUCAGACACACACACACACACAAACCUCCAUCAGACACACACACACAAACACACACCUCCAUCAGACACACACACACACGUCUCCAUCAGACACACACACACAAACACACACCUCCAUCAGACACACACACACACACACACACAAUGGACUGAGGGUCUUGGGCCCAUGCAACCAUGAACUAUGUGUGAUGAGUUCUCAUCUCACAUCUCUAUAUUCUGGGCCUCUGGUGGUCUCUAUUGGUCACUGUAUGUAAUUACAUUUCUAUUCAACCUCAGGUACGAGGCUGGAAUUGAUUCAUUCAAUAUAUUUGAAAGAAAACUGAUAUUAUUUCAAUUAAAGUCUGCAUUGAACCAUCCUAUUGCAGCUGCUGCUACUGUAUAUUAUAAACAUUUCUGGUUUUUGUUGAUCUGUUUAUGCUUGACUAACCGACAGUCAGGGGCCAAGACUCUAAAGCAAAACCUUUCUCCCCUCUAAGCCAAAGUGGAAUUAUUUUCUUACUGGUGGUGAUGGCAGAAUUCCCAGUACAGAAUUCGGGCCUCUGAGCUCCGAUACCGCUCCUGAAUCCCAUACCCGGCAAGGCAUCAUCGCUUUCCUGGUGGUCACAGUGGAGGACACCCCUUCUAGGUCAAGUCAAGUCAAGUCAGACACACACACACACACACACACACACACACACACACACACACACACACACACACACACACACACACACACACACACACACACACACACACACACACACACACACACACACACACACACACACACACAGCCUCAUAGGUUCAUACACACACACAGCCUCAUAGGUUCACACAGUGUAAGUAAGCUACUCCCCGAGCCCAGAUAGGAUUUAGUUAUUAAAAAUGAGUAGUACUACUGUUGAGUAAAAGUUAGACAGUGUUAAUGUGACUACUGACUAAGGCUUCUCAUACUGAACUUGAAGGAUCCCUCACACAGAGGACAAAACAGAAAAGAUGUCCGAUAAAACUGCAGUUCCUCACAAUAAAAUGACAGCUCUUAAGAUUGUUAAAAUAGAAUGAAGACCAGCUCUAUAUAUGACAUUAAAACAAAAUGUUUUGAGCUGAUUGGAACUCUGGAUCCAAUUCAUUAAGACAGGCCUUUGAAGGCGUUAGAAAAGUCCCCUUUAUCAAUAUGUUCUCUGGGCUGGCUCAGUCCAGUCCAACCUGCAUUGAGUAAUAUGUGGAUUCAAGCUUCAGGUAGAUAGCUGUGAGGAAAGGCUCUCUUUUCUUUCUCUGACUCCCCAGUAAACAUGAACCCAUUGGCCCCAUGUGGGUAUUCGGUGGGCAAGGUGGGCUAGCCCACACCAACCCCACACCAACCCAACACAGGCUAGCCCACACCAACCCCACACCAACCCAACACAGGCUAGCCCACACCAACCCCACACCAACCCAACACAGGCUAGCCCACACCAACCCCACACCAACCCAACACAGGCUAGCCCACACCAACCCCACACAGGCUAGCCCACACCAACCCCACACCAAUCCAACACAGGCUAGCCCACACCACACCAACCCCACACCAACCCAACACAGGCUAGCCCACACCAACCCCACACAGGCUAGCACACACCAACCCCAAACCAAUCCAACACAGGCUAGCCCACACCAACCCCACACCAACCCAACACAGGCUAGCCCACACCAACCCCACACCAACCCCACACCAACCCCACACAGGCUAGCACACACCAACCCCAAACCAAUCCAACACAGGCUAGCCCACACCAACCCCACACCAACCCAACACAGGCUAGCCCACACCAACCCCACACAGGCUAGCCCACACCAACCCCAAACCAAUCCAACACAGGCUAGCCCACACCAACCCCACACCAACCCAACACAGGCUAGCCCACACCAACCCCACACCAACCCAACACAGGCUAGCCCACACCAACCCAACACAGGGUAGUCUACAUCAACACAACACAGGCCAGCCCACACCAACCCAACACAGGCUAGCCCACACCAAUCCCACACCAACCCAACACAGGCUAGCCCACACCAACCCAACACAGGCUAGCCCACACCAAUCCCACACCAACCCAACACAGGCUAGCCCACACCAACCCCACACCAACCCAACACAGGCUAGCCCACACCAACCCAACACAGGCUAGCCCACACCAACACAACACUGGCCAGGCCACACCAACACAGGCUUGCCCACACCAACACAACACAGGCUUGCCCACACCAUCCCAACACAGGGUAGCCCACACCAACACAACACGGCAAGGUCACACCAACCCAACACAGGGUAGCCCACACCAACCCAACACAGGGUAGCCCACACCAACACAACACGGGCAAGGUCACACCAACACAACACGGGCAAGGUCACACCAACACAACACGGGCAAGGUCACACAAACACAACACGGGCAAGGUCACACCAACACAACACGGGCAAGGUCACACCAACACAACACGGGCAAGGUCACACCAACACAACACGGGCAAGGUCACACCAACACAACACGGGCAAGGUCACACCAAGCCCAGCUAGAGGCGGGGGCUCAUUAGAAUAUUUGGGGGCGUGGUUUACACACAGUUGUUUUUGUGCAGCCGUUACUGAGAGUGUGGUUCCUGUUGAAGUGUGGUUCCUGUUGAAGUGUGGUUCCUGUUGAAGUGUGGUUCCUGUUGAAGUGUUCUGUGUUGUGCUGCCUAUAUCCUGAUGAUCUUGUAAACGGCUAAUGAUCAAGUCUUUAGAAACACUUAUAUAAAUGUUUCUCUUGUUAAAUAUAUUCUGUAUGUAUGAUGGUAAUAACUUGGUUGUCUUUCUGAAAAAAUUGUAUCACGUUCCAUAAAUACCUGUAAGAGUAGAAAAUUAUGCAAUUUAUGCAUUGAAUUAAGUUUAAAUAAAUAAAUAUUAAAUAGCGAAGGCGCAUCAGCCCAAUGUGGGCAGCUUACAAGGGGUCAAUAUUUUAGCCUGCAUUGGGUUCAAAUCGUGACAAUUUGGACAUGUUUGCUGGGAAAAGAAGGGUGUAUUUCAGACAAAGUGACAGCUGCCUCACCAGAUCUGGGCUGCCCACACUGAGCCACACUGGGCAAAUGCCUUGGGGGCCAAUGUGGAGCCGAUGAGCAAAGGCGCAUCGGCCCAAUGUGGGCAGCCUAGAUGGGGCCAAUAUUUUAGCCCGAAUUGGGCCCACAUCGAGACAAUGUGGACAUGUUUGCUGGGGCUAAAACCUACAAUCUCUAGUUCCUUGUAAUUUUAUCGCUCUCUCCACGGUGCCGUGAGAAAACAAUAUAGUCCAAAUCUCCCAAUCUCCUUAAUGUUGUUCUAAUCUAAUGGAUCAUACACACACCUAAUGUCUCACAUUGGGCAUAUUAAGCAGAUUGCCUGCGUUAAACUACUGCUGUCAGAGCAGCAUGACAGACAUUACCAGCACUUAAGGCACAUUGUUUGUGUGUGUGAAUGUGUGUGUGUGUGUGUGUGUGUGUGUGUGUGUGUGUGUGUGUGUGUGUGUGUGUGUGUGUGUGUGUGUGUGUGUGUGUGUGUGUGUGUGUGUGUGUAUGUAUGUAUGUAUGUAUGUAUGUGUUUGUCUGCAUGUAUGUGUGUGUGUUUGUAGGUGUGUAUGUGUGUUCGAACAUCCCAAAUCUAAUUUUGCCCAUUCAUACGAGUCUGUAAUCAUGCCCGAACGUUUGGUCCAUUUAAAAUGUAAAAAAUGGCUGAAUAAAGUAAUCAUAUCAUGCUGCUGCUCUACAACUGUGCUGUCACCUCUACCGUGAUCAUUAGAGACAGGACCUGAGAGACAAUGACAACAUCAAUGCUUGGCUAACAACUAUUACUGUAAUAAAUAUGUGUAUGGAUCUGAAAGGCCUUGGUAGAACAAUGGAUGUCUUUAAUACCAUACAAACCCCAUAAACACAAUAUCUGCUUUACAUGCCACUGUUCUUAAGGCCGACACACACAC
rnacentral:lncRNA from 1 species